GAAUUUCAUUCAUUCUGCUGUAUAAGGACAUAGAUACGUUAAUAGAUACCGAUCUUAACUGUACAUUUUUUUACAGACUAACCUCGCCUCAUAACGAGGCCUAUUUGCUAGGGGCUAUGUCUGCAAGUCCAGAUUUACAUGAUGCUGAUAAUGACGCCAUUGUGUCUGCCUGUAAGACAUAUUAUGAGACAGCACGCAGGAGCUUCAGGUAGAAACAACCAGAUCUGGCAUCGCGGGCAGAAGCUGUGAAGAGUUCAGCUCGGAGUCAGUCAAGAAGAAAAGAGGCUGCUGGAAACAAGACAGAGUGUGCUGGCUACGGGUGAGGUGGACAUUUGGAAGUGUGCCACCAUAGACCUGAUGAUCCGAAUGAAUGGCAACGCACCACAGACAUCUGCAAAAUGGACCAAAUUCAGACAGAAUGUCGGCAGUUACCUACAACUCCGAGGUGGCCGCGGCAGGCAGACAGUUGACGGUGCUGUAGGAUUUGGCUUCUCGUGCGUGUGGGAUAUUUGUUGUGUGUGCUGUAUGUCUCCUAUGCUUUGUACAUAGUUUUUUUCUGAUUGCGUUUGUGUUUUGUGUUAAUAAAGCUCUAUCUUUGAAUAAA